UGAAGGCCAGGCUGAAGACUUUGCCGGAUUAGCUGAGAGGUGGUGCAUGGCCGUCGUCAGUUCGUACUGUGAAGCCAUCCUGUUAAGUCAGGCAACGAGCGAGACCCACGCCCACAGUUGCCAGCGUACUCUCCGGAGUGACGGGUACACUGUGGGGACCGCCGCUGCUAAAGCGGAGGAAGGAAAUGGGCAACGGUAGGGUCAGUAUGCCCUGAAUAUCCCGGGCUACACGCGAGCUACAAUGGUUGGUACAAUGGGUAUCUACCCCGAAAGGGGACGGGAAUCUCCUAAAACCAAUCUUAGUUCGGAUUGAGGGCUGCAACUCGCCCUCAUGAAGCUGGAAUCCGUAGUAAUCGCGUUUCAACAGAACGCGGUGAAUACAUCCCUGCUCCUU
rnacentral:rRNA from 1 species